GGAUAACAGUUGGAAACGACCGCUAAUACCGCAUAAGCCGGAAGGAUCGCAUGAUCCGGCCGGAAAAGAUUUAUCGGUGUGAGAUGGACCCGCGUCUGAUUAGCCAGUUGGCAGGGUAACGGCCCACCAAAGCGACGAUCAGUAGCCGGCCUGAGAGGGUGAACGGCCACAUUGGGACUGAGACACGGCCCAAACUCCUACGGGAGGCAGCAGUGGGGAAUAUUGCACAAUGGGGGAAACCCUGAUGCAGCGACGCCGCGUGAGUGAAGAAGUAUUUCGGUAUGUAAAGCUCUAUCAGCAGGGAAGAAAAUGACGGUACCUGACUAAGAAGCCCCGGCUAACUACGUGCCAGCAGCCGCGGUAAUACGUAGGGGGCAAGCGUUAUCCGGAUUUACUGGGUGUAAAGGGAGCGUAGACGGCCAGACAAGUCAGAAGUGAAAGCCCAGGGCUCAACCCUGGGACUGCUUUUGAAACUGCCGGGCUGGAGUGCAGGAGAGGUAAGCGGAAUUCCUAGUGUAGCGGUGAAAUGCGUAGAUAUUAGGAGGAACACCAGUGGCGAAGGCGGCUUACUGGACUGUAACUGACGUUGAGGCUCGAAAGCGUGGGGAGCAAACAGGAUUAGAUACCCUGGUAGUCCACGCCGUAAACG
rnacentral:rRNA from 1 species